rnacentral:rRNA from 1 species
UACGUAGGGGGCAAGCGUUGUCCGGAUUUAUUGGGCGUAAAGAGCGUGUAGGCGGCCUGAAAGGUCAGCUGUGAAAACUCGAGGCUCAACCUCGAGACGUCGGUUGAAACCAUCUGGCUAGAGUCCGGAAGAGGAGAGUGGAAUUCCUGGUGUAGCGGUGAAAUGCGCAGAUAUCAGGAAGAACACCCGUGGCGAAGGCGGCUCUCUGGGACGGUACUGACGCUGAGACGUGAAAGCGUGGGGAGCGAACAGG